ACCACUAUUCUCUCUUUAACCAUUUUUCACACCACUAUUCUCUCUUUAAUCAUUUUUUCUCCAUUUUUGAACAAUCUGAUUUCUUUUUUCACCUUCAUAUACAUUCAUUGUUUUCUAUCAGAUUAUUAUUUCAAUAAAAAGUUUUCACAAGUUAUUGUUGUUUCAUACAACGUUUGAAUAUUUUUAUUGAAAAAAAUUUCAAUAGUCUACAAAAAAUAAAAAAAAUGAGACACACAAAUAUGAAUUGUGCUAAUUUGCACUCAAUCAUUAUAUAUAAUGGAGGAAGAUGGAAUGCCUCAGGUAUAUCUUGGUUAUUAACUUUGAUAUUUUGGAUUAAUUCUUUUUUUUCUUUUUAAAAUAUAUAUUGUCUAAUUAUAAAUUAAGAAAAAGACAUCCAGAGAAAAAGUUAAUAUUGUUUUUUAUUUGUUUUUAAUUAUGUGAUGUUGACAUGUUAAUUAUUCACAAGAACGUGGUGGAGAUUCACUAAAAAGUAUUGUUCAAUCAACUUAUAGGUGUACGAUUAUUGAUUGUCAAAUGUUCUCAUUCGGUUAUAUUACAUUCAGUGACCUAUUAUGAUAUUAUAUUUAUUGUUUUAGUUAUUUUUUUAUUUUUAAAUUUUAUUGAUGUCUAUGUUUUGACAGUAUUAAAAUAUGUUGAAAUUAUCAACUUUCAUAUGUUCAUCAUUUUUUAUUUUUUUUGAUGUGUAUAUUUUGUGAAUUUUAAAAUAUGUUGUAAUUUUUUAAUUCUAUAUUGUUCCCGAUUAUUGAGUAUUAGUUACUUCACAUAUCUGUAUUAUAUUUGCAGGUAUACUUACAGAUUUUUCUAUAGAUGAAAUUAUGUAUGAAGCAAAUACCAAGUGUAAAGGAUUGCUAAAUGCAAUAGCAAAACAACUCAAGAUCCACAUCAACUCAAUUCAAAUUUGAGAUUAAGUUCUUGAUUGAUAGAUUCCCACCAAUUAUCAUACACAAUGAUACAGGAGUUAUGAUGUAGCUAGAUCGAAAAAAG
rnacentral:lncRNA from 1 species